AGAAGAAGCACCGGCUAACUCCGUGCCAGCAGCCGCGGUAAUACGGAGGGUGCAAGCGUUAAUCGGAAUUACUGGGCGUAAAGCGCACGCAGGCGGUCUGUCAAGUCGGAUGUGAAAUCCCCGGGCUCAACCUGGGAACUGCAUUCGAAACUGGCAGGCUAGAGUCUUGUAGAGGGGGGUAGAAUUCCAGGUGUAGCGGUGAAAUGCGUAGAGAUCUGGAGGAAUACCGGUGGCGAAGGCGGCCCCCUGGACAAA
rnacentral:rRNA from 1 species